UACUGGCGUCAGGAUGAACGCUAGCGGCAGGCCGUAAUACAUGCAAGCGAACGGGAUAGGGCCCUCGGGACCCUUGAGAGUGGCGCACGGGUGCGCAACGCGUAUGCAACCAACCCCCGACAGGCGGAUAGCCGGUGGAAACGCCGGAUAAUACGCCAUGGUUCCCAUCCAGGGCAUCCUGGACAGGAUAAAGCUGAGGCGGUCGGGGACGGGCAUGCGUCCCAUUAGAUAGCAGGCGGGGUGACGGCCCACCUGGUCUACGAUGGGUAGGGGAUCUGAGAGGACGGUCCCCCACACUGGUACUGAGACACGGACCAGACUCCUGCAGGAGGCAGCAGUAAGGGAUAUUGGUCAAUGGCCGGAAGGCUGAACCAGCCAUGCCGCGUGAGGGAAUGAGGCCCUACGGGUCGUGAACCUCUUUUAUUCGGGGACAAGGACGCGGUCGCGAACCGUGUUUGAGGGUACCGAAGGAAUAAGCAUCGGCUAACUCCGUGCCAGCCGCAGC
rnacentral:rRNA from 1 species